AGGAAGAGCUCAUCCAGUAGCGCUUCAAUUAUUUGACAUUUCUAUCACCGAUGAAGUUCUCCUUUUAGCUUUGGAAAAUGUUCAGUAUAACAUUUUCAAGUACUGAGCAACUCAUUUUUAUAUCUUCUGACAGCUUUAAGCCAGCUUUUUCUCCUGGGAGCUGAGGCUGUUUGUGUUAGUACACUCAUGGUGCCUGGAUCCAACCUCAUUGCUGAUAUCUAAGAAGUCCGACAUCUCCGUGAAGGUAUUUUAUUGCCAUUUUUAGCAGAAAUGUAUAUAUUCCAUCCUGAUGAGACAAGGUCCGCAUACUUUUCCUUCAGACCUCUACAGACUAAAGGGUUCAUAAAGGAGUUCACUGAUACCUUGUUGACAAUGGUGAUGAAAUACUCUGACUUGUCAUCCUGGGAGAUUUCAACACACACAUCGACAAGAUUGCAGAUAUAAAGUCCCACAAACUCACCUCCUGGCUUUCCUCCCAAACACUCUCCUGGUAUUUCUACACUGACAAUUAAAGUCUGCCUCAAAAGGUCUCCUUCGCUGGGUCUGAGUGACAUGUGUCACACCAACAGCAAAUUUCAUCAGGCUGCACGCAGCAGCAAACUGCGUUUGGUGAAGGCUCCAUGCGUGGCAGUGCUAGGAGGAAGCUGGCAGCCAGGAC
rnacentral:lncRNA from 1 species